rnacentral:rRNA from 1 species
ACGGGAGGCAGCAGUGGGGAAUUUUCCGCAAUGGGCGCAAGCCUGACGGAGCAAUACCGCGUGAGGGAGGAAGGUCCUUGGAUUGUAAACCUCUUUUAUCAGGGAAGAAAAAAAUGACGGUACCUGAUGAAUAAGCAUCGGCUAACUCCGUGCCAGCAGCCGCGGUAAUACGGAGGAUGCGAGCGUUAUCCGGAAUUAUUGGGCGUAAAGCGUCCGUAGGAGGUCAUGCAAGUCUGCCGUUAAAGAAUGGGGCUUAACUCCAUAGGAGCGGUGGAAACUGCAAGACUAGAGUACAGUAGGGGUAGCAGGAAUUCCCAGUGUAGCGGUGAAAUGCGUAGAUAUUGGGAAGAACAUCGGUGGCGAAAGCGUGCUACUGGGCUGAAACUGACACUGAGGGACGAAAGCUAGGGUAGCGAAAGGGAUUAGAUACCCCUGUAGUCCUAGCCGUAAACGAUGGAUACUAGGCGUGGCUUGUAUCGACCCGAGCCGUGCCGAAGCUAACGCGUUAAGUAUCCCGCCUGGGGAGUACGCACGCAAGUGUGAAACUUAAAGGAAUUGACGG